UUCAGAAUGGACUGGUUGGAUCUCCUUGCAGUCCAAGGGACUCUCAAGAGUCUUCUCCAACACCACAGUUCAAAAGCAUCAAUUCUUUGGCACUCAGCCUUCUUCACAGUCCAACUCUCACAUCCAUACAUGACCACUGGAAAAACCAUAGCCUUGACUAGACGAAACUUUGUUGGCAAAGUAAUGUCUCUGCUUUUGAAUAUGCUAUCUAGGUUGGUCAUAACUUUUCUUCCAAGGAGUAAGCGUCUUUGAAUUUCAUGGCUGCAGUCACCAUCUGCAGUGAUUUUGGAGCCCAAAAAAAUAAAGUCUGACACUGUUUACACUGAAAUCAAAUUGAUUAUAUUCUUUGCAGCCAAAGAUGUAGAAGCUCUAUACAGUCAACAAAAACAAGACCAGGAGCUGACUGUGGCUCAGACCAUGAACUCCUUAUUGCCAAAUUCAGACUUAAAUUGAAAAAAGUAGGGAAAACCACUAGACCAUUCAGGUAUGACCUAAAUCAAAUCCCUUAUGAUUAUAAAGUGGAAGUGAGAAAUAGAUUUAAGGGACUAGAUCUGAUAGAUAGAGUGCCUGAUGAACUAUGGACGGAGGUUUGUGACAUUGUACAGGAGACAGGGAUCAAGACCGUCCCCAUGGAAAAGAAAUGCAAAAAAGCAAAACGGCUGUCUGAGGAGGCCUUACAAAUAGCUAUGAAAAGAAGAGAAGCAAAAAGCAAAGGAGAAAAGGAAGGAUAUAAGCAUCGAAUGCAGAGUUCCAAAGAAUAGCAAGGAGAGAUAAGGAAGCCUUCUUCAGCGAUCAAUGCAAAGAAAUCGAGGAAAACAACAGAAUGGGAAAGACUAGAGAUCUCUUCAAGAAAAUUAGAGAUACCAAGGGAACAUUUCAUGCAAAGAUGGGCUCGAUAAAGGACAGAAAUAGUAUGGACCUAACAGAAGCAGAAGAUAUUAAGAAGAAGUGGCAAGAAUACACAGAAGAACGGUACAAAAAAGAUCUUCAUGACCAAGAUAAUCACGAUGGUGUGAUCACUGACCUAGAGCCAGACAUCCUGGAAUGUGAAGUCAAGUGGGCCUUAGGAAACAUCACUACAAACAAAGCUAGUAGAGGUGAUGGAAUUCCAGUUGAGCUAUUUCAAAUCCUGAAAGAUGAUGCUGUGAAAGUGCUGCACUCAAUAUGCCAGCAAAUUUGGAAAACUCAGCAAGUGGCCACAGGACUGGAAAAGGUCAGUUUUCAUUCCAAUCCCAAAGAAAGGCAAUGCCAAAGAAUGCUCAAACUACUGCACAAUUGUACUCAUCUCACAUGCUAGUAAAGUAAUGCUCAAAAUUCUCCAAGCCAGGCUUCAGCAAUACGUGAACUGUGAACUUCCAGAUGUUCAAGCUGGUUUUAGAAAAGGCAGAGGAACCAGA
ensembl:lncRNA